CGGUGAAUACGUUCCCGGACCUUGUACACACCGCCCGUCAAGCCAUGGAAGCUGGGUGUACCUAAAGUCGGUAACCGCAAGGAGCAGCCUAGGGUAAAACUAGUAACUGGGGCU
rnacentral:rRNA from 1 species